GUGGCUCAUUCACCUUCUUAUGUCAGCCCCUUCGGGACGUGCUACAUAAACUUCGAAUGACGCACAACAAGGUGCCUGCCGUCCAACAUCUGAUAUUAGCGAAGCUCAUAUCAACCUCCGGGCGAAACGUCGAGUUAGGCACCGCCUUAUUCCACAACAAAGCCGGGUUAAUCCCGGCUUUGUUGU
rnacentral:misc_RNA from 1 species